rnacentral:rRNA from 1 species
GACCUGCGGAGGGAUCAUUACCGAGUUUACAACUCCCAAACCCCUGUGAACAUACCUUAUGUUGCCUCGGCGGAUCAGCCCGCGCCCCGUAAAAAGGGACGGCCCGCCGCAGGAACCCUAAACUCUGUUUUUAGUGGAACUUCUGAGUAUAAAAAACAAAUAAAUCAAAACUUUCAACAACGGAUCUCUUGGUUCUGGCAUCGAUGAAGAACGCAGCAAAAUGCGAUAAGUAAUGUGAAUUGCAGAAUUCAGUGAAUCAUCGAAUCUUUGAACGCACAUUGCGCCCGCCAGUAUUCUGGCGGGCAUGCCUGUUCGAGCGUCAUUUCAACCCUCAAGCCCAGCUUGGUGUUGGGAGCUGCAGUCCUGCUGCACUCCCCAAAUACAUUGGCGGUCACGUCGAGCUUCCAUAGCGUAGUAAUUUACACAUCGUUACUGGUAAUCGUCGCGGCCACGCCGUUAAACCCCAACUUCUGAAUGUUGACCUCGGAUCAGGUAGGAAUACCCGCUGAACUUAAGCAUAUCAA